rnacentral:snoRNA from 1 species
UUUUUGUGAUGAUCUCAUUCAGUUCUGCUUCCGAAUAAGGACAACCUCCUUUGUGGAUAGCUGAAAUAUACCAAAAUCAUUUCUGACUU